rnacentral:rRNA from 1 species
ACUCAAAGGAAUAGACGGGGGCCUGCACAAGCGGUGGAGUAUGUGGCUCAAUUCGAUGCAACGCGAAGAACCUUACCUGGCCUUGACAUGUACGUAGUAGAAGGGUGAAAGCCUGACGAGGUAGCAAUACCAGCGUACACAGGUGCUGCAUGGCUGUCGUCAGCUCGUGUCGUGAGAUGUUGGGUUAAGUCCCGCAACGAGCGCAACCCUUGUGUCCUGUUGCCACCCCGGCGAGAGUCGGGAGCACUCUGGACAGACUGCCUCGCUUAAACGAGGAGGAAGGUGGGGAUGACGUCAAGUCAGUAUGGCCCUUACGGCCAGGGCUGCACACGUACUACAAUGCCCGGCACAAAGGGAAGCGAGACCGUCAGGUGGAGCAAAUCCCCAAAAACCGGGCCCAGUUCAGAUUGUCGUCUGCAACUCGACGGCAUGAAGCUGGAAUCGCUAGUAAUGGCGCAUCAGCUACGGCGCCGUGAAUACGUUCCCAGGCCUUGUACACACCGCCCGU